UACAGAGGUCCCAAGCGUUGUUCGGAUUCAUUGGGCGUAAAGGGUGCGUAGGCGGUCUGAUAAGUCAUCUGUGAAAUCUAUGGGCUCAACCCAUAGUCUGCAGGCGAAACUGUCGGGCUUGAGUAUGGGAGAGGUGAGUGGAAUUUCCGGUGUAGCGGUGAAAUGCGUAGAUAUCGGAAGGAACACCUGUGGCGAAAGCGGCUCACUGGACCAUUACUGACGCUGAUGCACGAAAGCUAGGGGAGCAAACAGG
rnacentral:rRNA from 1 species